GGGCUUAGGACGAACGCUGGCGGCGUGCCUAACACAUGCAAGUCGAGCGGGGACAUACGACGGAGUCGAAGUUUCGGAUGGAGACGAAGAUGUAUGUCUAGCGGCGACGGGUGAGUAACGCGUGAGCAACCUGUCCCUUACAGGGGAUAACACAGCGAAAGUUGUACUAAUACCGCAUGAGACCACGGCAGGACAUCCUGGCAGGGGUCAAAGGAGCAAUCCGGUAAGGGGUGGGCUCGCGUCCGAUUACGAUAGUUGGUGAGGUAACGGCCCACCAAGUCGACGAUCCGGUAGCCGACCUGAGAGGGUGAUCGGCCACAUUGGGACUGAGACACGGCCCAAACUCCUACGGGAGGCAGCAGUGGGGAAUAUUGGGCAAUGGGGGGAAACCCUGACCCAGCAACGCCGCGUGAGGGGAGAAGGUUUUCGGAUCGUAAACCUCUGUCCUUGGUGAAGAGGAAGAGACGGUAGCCAAGGAGGAAGCCCCGGCUAACUACGUGCCAGCAGCCGC
rnacentral:rRNA from 1 species